rnacentral:lncRNA from 1 species
GAUACGGGGUUGCGCGCGGACCAAGAUCGAGUUGCAAAGUCACGAGAAACUCCUACGAAAACCCUAAACAAUUAGAUCUGAAACGAAACAGAAAAUUAAAAGAUUAGAUUUUUGAAUUUUCAGAUCUGAAAUAAAAUCCCCAAAUCAGCAAAGAAUCAAAUUGAGAAUAGAAAUAAGUGUUAGGGUUCUUGAAACCCUCAAGGAGAUUGUGAUUCUGCCCAAUUGAACACCAAGAUAGUUUUCCCCAAAUUUCGACAAUCUAAUUUCACCCAAAAAAGAGUAUGGAAAAACCCUAGAAAUUGGGGAUUUUUGGGCUGAUUCCUUAAGAUAGAAAAAGGCUGAAAACACAAUAAGAACAGAAAAUAGAUUAGAUAAUGAUUCAGCACAAGUAGAAAUAAAGAAAGAAUUGACAGUAAGAAAUUAAAAGAUAAGUCCUAAGAAGCCUUGAAAUCUCGAAAGAUCUCACAACUCCCUUCAAACGGCUCUAAUCUCCCCUCCAAAGAAUAUCAAUGGCAA